CCCGGCCGCUGGCACCACAGCGCUCCUGUGCUUUGCUUCCCCGCCACUGCCCGACAGCUCUGAGGUGCUGGGGCUCCUCAUUCCGCCCUGCACUUUCUGCCUCACCACCCGCUGGGGAACCGAAAGCAGCAAUCUCGACGCUGUCCGGUGUGACGUGCCUGCCUGCCCGCACUACCCCGCAGCGCUUCCUGUCCUAAAAAGCCAUGGGCUCCGACACGGGCGGGACACGAGACGCUGGAGGGCUGGAAGUCACACUCAGCGGCCCUGCAUGACUAAUCUCGGACCCCACUCUUCCCCGGCUUCACAGACACCGGCCCCCACGCGCUCCCGCCAUGACAAUGUGGCAGUCACUCCUGCUCUCCUUUCUGGAGGCAAGCAGCCACCAGGCAGGGACUUCUGUGGUCCUGAAAGUGACUGCCUCUAGCCUGAAGAUUUCAGGGUAUGUUUCCACUGAUAAUUGUGAGAUCCUUGUACAUGAACCCAAGGGUGAAAUACAGAAGGCUGCAAAGGGAAGUAUUCCCCUGAGGAAUAAAGUUAAUAGAACAUAAAACAGGAGUGUCGGAGCAAAUGGGUUUCAGCCCUAACCCCACCCUGCCCCUAAUUCCUAGGAGUGCCCAGGCCCUACGCGCAAGGUCAGAGAAGUGGAGUAACAACUCCACCAAACAGAUUAGGACCUAGAAUAAUGGGCUUGGCUCGUACCAGCCCUAGAAUCAAGAAAAAGAGGGUAAGCAGAGUUGUAAAAGCCUCUGUUAAUCCCAGGCAGUCAGGGGGCAUAGGUCUAGUGGCAGAAAUGAAGACGGUAACACGCCAACGACAAAAGGUAAAGGAAUAGAGAAAAGAAGAAAGGCAUAAGUAGAAGGGAGG
rnacentral:lncRNA from 1 species